rnacentral:lncRNA from 1 species
UGGGAUGUGGAUUUCUGGUGAUGUCCCUGGAUGUAAGAUCCUCUCUCACCAGUAUUCCCCCCCCCUCCACGCCUGCGAGGUUGUAUCUAUGCUUCCACGGAGGUUGUCACGCGCUUUUGCCAACUAUUGUCCGGUUUGUCCUAGCCGAAGCCUACUCCUUGCACACCUGUCCGGACUGAUUCUCCCGCGGAACCCUGCAUGCCC